rnacentral:rRNA from 1 species
UGACAUUCCUUGUUGCCCUGAAUGUGCCUGAUCUCAGAAGCUAAGCAGGGUCCGGCCUGGUUAGCACUUGGAUGGGAGAAACGUUGAGGCAGGCUAGAGUGCAAU